rnacentral:rRNA from 1 species
AUUGAACGCUGGCGGCAGGCCUAACACAUGCAAGUCGAACGAGUGGCGGACGGGUGAGUAAUGUCUGGGCAACUGCCCGAUGGAGGGGGAUAACUACUGGAAAAGGUAGCUAAUACCGCAUACCCUCCGGUGUGCCCCGAUGGGUUUAGCGAGUCGGUGGGGUAAGGGCUCACCUAGGCGACGCUCCCUAGCUGGUCGGAGAGGAGGACCAGCCACACUGGAACGGAGACAGGGUCCAGAGUCCGAGGGGGGGCAGCGGGGGGAAAUAUGGCAAAAGGGGCGCAAGCCUGAUGAAGCCAGGCCGGGUGUAUGAGGAGGGCCGUCGGGUUGUAAAGUACUUGCAGCGAGGAGGGGUGACUCGCAGAAGAAGCACCGGCUAACUCCGUGCCAGCAGCGGCGGGAUAC